rnacentral:rRNA from 1 species
GGAAUUACUGGGCGUAAGCGCACGCAGGCGGUUUGUUAAGUCUGAUGUGAAAUCCCCGGGCUCAACCUGGGAACUGCAUUUGAAACUGGCAAGCUUGAGUCUUGUAGAGGGGGGUAGAAUUCCAUGUGUAGCGGUGAAAUGCGUAGAGAUCUGGAGGAAUACCGGUGGCGAAGGCGGCCCCCUGGACAAAGACUGACGCUCAGGUGCGAAAGCGUGGGGAGCAAACAGGAUUAGAUACCCUGGUAGUCCACGCUGUAAACGAUGUCGCUUGGUGUUUGUUCCCUUGAGGACUGGCUUCCGGAGCUACGCGUUUAUCGACCGCCGGGGAGUACGGCCCCAGGUUUAAACUCCAAUGGAUUUGCCGGGGCCCCCCCCAGCGGGGGAACAUGGGGGUUAAUUCCAUGCCACCCCAAAAACCUUACCUACGCUUGACCUUCAUAUAACUUCCCUAAAAUGCUUUGGUGCCUUCCGGAACUCUGAGACAGGGGCUGCCUGGCUGUCGUCAGCUCCGGGUGUGAAAUGGUGGGUUAAGUUCCGCAACGAGCGGCACCCUUAUCCUUUGUUGCCAUCAUUCGGUCGGGACUCUAAGGAGACUGCCGGUGACUAACUGGAGGAAAGUGGGGAUGACGUCAAUCAUCAUGGCCCUUACGAGUAGGGCUACACACGUGCUACAAUGGCAUGUACAAAGAGAAGCGACCUCGCGAGAGCGAGCGGAUCUCAUAAAGCAUGUCUCAGUCCGGAUUGGAGUCUGCAACUCGACUCCAUGAAGUCGGAAUCGCUAGUAAUCGUAGAUCAGAAUGCUACGGUGAAUACGUUCCCCGGGCUUGUACACAACCGCCGUCACACCAUGAGGAGUGUGUUGCAACAGAAGUAGGUAGCUUAACCUUCUGUGAGGCGCUUACCACUUGUGAUCAUGACUGGUGACA